rnacentral:tRNA from 1 species
ACAGGUGUGAUGAAAUUUGGUAAACAUAUUAGAUUUAGAAUUUAAAUUACAGAAAUGUUAAUAAGGGUUCGAGUCCCUUCACCUGUA